rnacentral:tRNA from 1 species
UGGGGAAUGGCCAAAUUGGUAAGGCACCUGACUCUGGAUCAGGAAAUUGUAGGUUCGAGCCCUACUUCCCCAGCCA